rnacentral:rRNA from 1 species
GACGAACCACACGAACGUUAUUCGGAAUUACUGGGCUUAAAGGGUGCGUAGGCGGCGCGGUAAGUAGGGUGUGAAAUCCCUCGGCUCAACCGAGGAACUGCGCUCUAAACUACCGUGCUUGAGGGAGAUAGAGGUGAGCGGAACUUAGGGUGGAGCGGUGAAAUGCGUUGAUAUCCUAAGGAACACCGGUGGCGAAAGCGGCUCACUGGAUCUCUUCUGACGCUGAGGCACGAAAGCUAGGGUAGCGAACGGG